CGUUAAAUCGACCGCCUGGGGAGUACGGCCGCAAGGUUAAAACUCAAAUGAAUUGACGGGGGCCCGCACAAGCGGUGGAGCAUGUGGUUUAAUUCGAUGCAACGCGAAGAACCUUACCUGGUCUUGACAUCCACAGAACUUUCCAGAGAUGGAUUGGUGCCUUCGGGAACUGUGAGACAGGUGCUGCAUGGCUGUCGUCAGCUCGUGUUGUGAAAUGUUGGGUUAAGUCCCGCAACGAGCGCAACCCUUAUCCUUUGUUGCCAGCGGUUCGGCCGGGAACUCAAAGGAGACUGCCAGUGAUAAACUGGAGGAAGGUGGGGAUGACGUCAAGUCAUCAUGGCCCUUACGACCAGGGCUACACACGUGCUACAAUGGCAUAUACAAAGAGAAGCGACCUCGCGAGAGCAAGCGGACCUCAUAAAGUAUGUCGUAGUCCGGAUUGGAGUCUGCAACUCGACUCCAUGAAGUCGGAAUCGCUAGUAAUCGUAGAUCAGAAUGCUACGGUGAAUACGUUCCCGGGCCUUGUACACACCGCCCGUCACACCAUGGGAGUGGGUUGCAAAAGAAGUAGGUAGCUUAACCUUCGGGAGGGCGCUUACCACUUUGUGAUUCAUGACUGGGGUGAAGUC
rnacentral:rRNA from 1 species